AAAGUCUGACCUGCCCUAUGAAUAGUAUUUAAAUGGCUGCGAUACUCUGAUCGUGCAAAGGUAGCAUAAUAAUUAGUUUUUUAAUUGGGAACUGGAAUGAAAGGUCGAACGAGAAAAAAACUGUCUCAAUCUAAAUUUAAUUAGAAUUUUAUUUUUAAGUAAAAAAGCUUAAAUAAUUUUAAAAGACGAGAAGACCCUAUAGAGUUUUAUAUAAAUAUAAAUAUUUAGAAGUUGAAGAAUUAUAGAUUUAAAUAUUUAUAUUUAUAUUUGGUUGGGGUGAUUAAAAAAUUUAAUAAACUUUUUUUAUAUUAAACCAUUGAUUUAUGAAUAAGUGAUCCA
rnacentral:rRNA from 1 species